rnacentral:hammerhead_ribozyme from 1 species
AUCCAGCUGACGAGUCCCAAAUAAGUCGAAUCGCACGUCAAAACUGGAU